rnacentral:lncRNA from 1 species
UCUUCCAAAACACCGCUGAACGAAACGCGGGAAAACUCGGAGCAAACUGGGAAGGUCCCUAUAAAAUCGAAAAAGUCGUCCGACCGGGUUCUUACGAAAUAGCCAACAUGCAGGGCAUAAAAAUCCCUAGAACCUGGAAUGCGAUGCAUCUCAAAAAAUACUAUCACUAAACAAACCAACUCGCAAUCACUGAACUACGAGACGGCUUGAUCUCCGCAAGGAGUACGUAGGCAGUUUGCCGAAAGGCAAAUUCAGCUGUCCCCCCUCAUUAAAAAAGGGGGGGGAGUGGGUACGUAUACUCAUAUACUCCCAAAAAAUCGAAAAAACUUCUUACCACACUUUUGGUGUUUUCGACUUACCAAAACAUCCUCACCCGCGAAAUCGCAACAAGGUCUUCGGAAAUCAGUCUGCCGCUUGGGAGAAUCAACCUUUAGCAUCGCAAGACGUCGCAAAAGAUGCCUCAAAGCUGGUUUCUUCCGAGCAAACGAAAUCUCCGCAAAAAAACACACACAUGCCCACAUUAACAUUUAUUUUGCGCAAAAUAAUCAAAACAACAGCACACGCCACCAAGUCCGAUGCUGAUCACAUCGAACUCAUAAACGUCCUAAACAGACAUAGACAUCUCAUGGAGAUGACUCUCUUACAUCCGACACAAGGAUAAUAGCGCUAUAAAAGAAAUCCGAAAUUUUGGUCUAGCACUUCCGGUCUCGGAGAGAUGCUCGAUUCGUAUCAAACAAGUCGUGUAAGCCGAGAACUUUUCGCGGACUUUACAUCGAUACGAAUCAGGAAGAAAUCGCGACAGGAAAAACGAUAGCCGGUUAGUCACCGCACAAUCCUUAAACCGAAAGUAAACCUAGGUCUUGCCCUAAACCCAGCGCUCUGGUCUCUAACAUCUCAAAGGCAUUAUAUCGAAAGAUAGGAGAUUCUUAAACCACGCCUCUAUGUUUACGUUCGAUACCUUCAGCACCCCCGCAGAGUUCACAUCUCGCGGAAGAACUCUCGAAACAGGUCUCGAAUAAAACAUUUCGCAAUUGAAGAAGGAUAUGAGACGACAACUCAUCACCUUCCUCCCCACUGUUCACGAAUUCGCACUAAAAGCAUUAUCCGAUUAUCGUACCAUAAAAAUAAAGCCGCGGAGUGGCAGGGAUUCAAAGCCACACACGGCCAGUCCCGAAAUACAAACAAGGCCGUUCAAGGCCGAAAUAUAAAAACAUAAAAAAUCUCUUGCAAGAGAUCUAACCCAAGUCACCCUCAGAACUUACGACCCCUCUUCACCCGCUGCCUCGUCCGAGCCUGGAGCCGCGUCACUUCCGUUCUCUCCGACCAUCGGGUCUUUCCCCUCUGGGUCUUCUGAACACGUCGGAAGGAAGCACGCGGAUUUCAGGUCGGCCAGGAUAAGAUCGAAAUCUCCAUCCUCGGCCGCCAUAUCUCCCUUGCAGCCGGACAGCCGGGCCUCUUCGGCCUCCAAGGUCGGGGGAGUCUCACUUUGGAACGACCGAACUACGGCCAUCCCGCCCUCAAUCGUCGCCAAAGCAAAAUCCCUACUUCGGAUACACUCGAGGGAACCCAGGGAAGCAGAAAUCUUCGCCAAGCGAGCUUGAAACUCCGCGCGAAGGGCAUCCAUAGCCUCUUGGAUCCCGCGGCGCGCUAGUCCAGCAUCACUCUCGAUCUGACGCUGGAGUCGACGCACCUCCGAGGAUUUGGCCUUCCUGGCCUUCUUUUCCUUAAGCAAGGAGCUCGCCGUCUUCCCGAGGUCCCUCUCAAGCUCUCCUAUCGCAACCUCGAGCUUCGACACUUUCGCAGAGUGAGAGUCCUCGACAGCCGUCAACAUAGCCUCGGUUUCGGACCAUCUGCCCUGAAGCUCCACCAACUCCCCGGAAAGGCGACUGGUCUCAGAACCACAUUCGCUGAUCAUCCCAUCGAUCAACGAUAUGAACUGCGAACGGUAAAAUUGGUUAGACUAAGUCCGUGGAAAGAAUACACGAAAGACGAUCGAGAAUUCAUACAAGAGACAAACCUUUCCGCGAAGUCCCGACGCUAGGCUCGACCCACCUCGCUGCGAAGUCUCCCCGUCACCGCUCUUGGCAAGUUUCCUCUUCCGACUCUUAGGCUGAGUAGCCAGGACAGCGCUAGGAGCACGCAAUGCCAGAACGAUUUCUUUUCUGGCUGGAGGCGGAGGCAUAGAGUCAGCGGCUUUCUCUUUGUCCUCGACGAGGAUCGGAGUCGUGGAAGAUCCCGUAGGUAGGACUUGCGGGAGAGGAGCCGCGACGACGAUCCCAUGACACGGGGCAAUGACCUGCGCGGAAGAAGACGGAAGCUCGGACCCAGUUUGAGCUAGUUCUUUCUCGGCUUGACGACGAACUAGUUUCUCUCGGAAAGAAAGAUGACCGGCAACACAAGCCGGCACUUCCGCCGGAGAAGUUGGAAUCGGAGCCGGAGAAGUGGCCUCACCCAUCUCGACGUCGGAAUCUUUCUUAUAACCUUGGGAGGAAGACAUGUUGAGAGGAAAGUUAUGAAACUAGAGAGGUUUUUGAAGGAAUGAAGAAGGGAAGGUGUGAAGAAAAUGAAUGACAAAAGCUCACUACUUAUAGAAGUAUGGGUUCGGAAUGUCGUCUCGACAACUUUUUUCCGCGGAAUUUUAAAUGUAAAUUUCGUCUAAUACACUUAAACUUGUCAAAAUCACCUAUCCGCCCGCUAGAGUCACAACUCUAACGGGCUGGGGGGCUAACUGUUGGGGUCAAAAACGGUUACGACGAAUUUAACAUUGAAAGCGUCCGAGGAGGAAAAUAAGAAUCUCUCCGAAGAGUAUUUUUCGAAAUAGACUCUUUCUUACGAAAAAGCUCUACGGAAGAAAGAAUCGAGAUGUCCGACGAAAAGCUCGAAACAGGUCGCUACGCAGCGACCAAGCGAUCGUCCCGCUCGGUCGCUACGUAGCGACCGAGCUCGAGCCAAAGCUUGGUCGCUACGCAGCGACCGAGCGAUCGUCCCGCUCGGUCGCUACGUAGCGACCGAGCUCGAGCCAAAGCUCGGUCGCUACGUAGCGACCGAGCGAUCGCCCCGCUCGGUCGCUACGUAGCGACCGAGCGAUCGUCCCGCUCGGUCGCUACGUAGCGACCUAGCUCAGCCAAGCUCGGUCGCUACGUAGCGACCGAGCGAUCGUCCCGCUCGGUCGCUACGUAGCGACCGAGCUCAAGCCAAAGCUCGGUCGCUACGUAGCGACCGAGCACUCGUCUCACUCGGUCGCUACGUAGCGACCGGGCUCGAGCCAAAGUUCGGUCGCUGUGUAGCGAUUGAACCUUUCCGAACAUCGAUACGACACCAGUCCAUGCAUUCUCGUCAAACCUUCGAAUGCUAUCUCCCGAAGACCGUAGCAAGCUCAGUCCAUGUUUCCCGCUAUUCUAAUUCAUCGAUCAAACUUCGCGGAUUAAAAACCGUGGAAAACUCGUAGUAAACGUGUCGAGUCGGAAGACGGCCCAAAGGGACCUAAAACACGAUUCGAAGCCCAUCCUACGAUUUUCCUAACCAAAAGCCCGUAAACCAUGGCAUGGUUUACGCUUGGCCCACGAGGAAGGAUAAAUGUCAAGUUUCCGCGGAUAAAUACGGAAGUUUUGAAGAUAAUUAUGAAGAACGGGAAAAAUGGAAAAUCUCCAUUUUAUGCUAUGACGGCUUAAGGGCAGAAGAGUAAAAGCGUAAACCGACCUUGGAGCUAGUAUAUAAGGAGUCCUAGGCGAGGAGCAGAGAAGAGAACUUUUUCAGAGCAAACUUAGCACUUAGAGCAAUUUAGGCAAUUUUCCGUUUUUGUUAUUUCGAGCUGCGACUCAAUUAGGUUUAGCCGUCUUAGGGUUGCUAGAACUAGGAAUCUCGCCGACAGCUCUCGAGCCCAGGCUUAUACCUUGUUGUAACGCUCAUACGCAGAUUCGGAAUAAGAUCAACUUUGCUCUCUUUUCGAUUUCUUAUUUUUAUCGUUGUUAUUCUCGUGUUCUGAUUGCUUGACGUGUGGUAAUUAACAGAUAUCCGGGUCCUCUGGAAAUUAGGGUUUUCCUAGUUUCCUUAUUUAAACGGAAAUCGACAGUGUGAAUUUCGGUUCCCACAGUUUGGCGCUAGAAGGAGGGGCACUUACGGAUCAAUCUAACCCGCAAAAGCCACUCAACGAUCAGGAACGAUAUGCGAGAUUCGACGUGCGCGAACGUCAUCUCAUUCAAGGGGGGAGAAACGAUCGAUCGGGCCAAACCUCGAAACGAUCUCCUUGUUAUCGAGUUGACGAUUCGAGAUAUCGACGUCGCUAGAGUACUAAUCGAUACCGGAAGCUCGGCCGAUAUCAUCUUCAAAGACACUCUUGAAAAGAUGGGGGUCAGUCAAUCCGAAAUCGCGAAAUACCCAAGCCCAUUGCUAGACUUUCGGGGGAAACGACCAUGGCCUAUGCAUCGAUUAGACUCGCUGUCAAAGCCGGAACCGUGACUAACAUCACAGAGUUUCUAGUCGUUGACCGCCCCGCAUCUUACAACGUUAUCAUGGGGACGCCAUGGCUAAACACCAUGCGCGCAAUCCCAUCAACCUACCAUCUUUGCCUCAAGUUCCCGACCCCUAACGGAGUCGAGGUAAUCUGGGGAAAUCCAAGAGUUUCACAGGUUUGCUUCACCGCGGAACUAAAACAAAAGAGACCGAUCCUCGAAGUUACUCCUAAGAAAGCGGAGAAAAAGACCUCCGGCAAAAAUACGAAAAGUCAGGAUUCAGCGGAAUUCUUCUGGCAGUCUCGGAUCAUCGCAGCCCUAGAUGAAAAACGCGAGCCAACAUGCGAACCUGUGGUAACGAUCUGUCUCGACGAAGCCUUCCCAGAACGCUGCGUCGAGAUUGGAGCCAAUCUCCACGAGCCUUUAAGGACAGAACUCAUAACCUGUCUUAAAAAGAACCUUAAUACUUUCGCAUGGGCUGCGGAAGAUAUGCCAGGAAUCGACAUUAACAUAACAUGUCACGAGCUGAAUAUCGACCCGACAUUCAAACCUGUCAAACAGAAAAGACGGAAGCUGGGACCCGAACGUGCUACCGCAGUAAACGAUGAGGUCGAAAAACUGCUUAAAGUUGGGUCGAUAACGAAAGUAAGAUACCCGGACUGGCUCGCCAACCCCGUAGUAGUCAAAAAGAAAAACGGGAAGUGGCGAGUUUGCGUAGAUUUUACCGACCUAAACAAGGCAUGUCCAAAGGAUAGCUUCCCUCUACCACAUAUCGAUCGAUUGGUAGAAGCAACAGCGGGCAACGAACUCUAUCCUUCAUGGAUGCCUUCUCAGGUUAUAAUCAAAUUAGGAUGAAUCCCGACGAUCGUGAGAAGACUGCGUUCAUUACCGAUCGCGGAACUUAUUGCUAUAAGGUAAUGCCCUUCGGCCUCAAAAACGCUGGAGCAACUUACCAACGACUCGUGAACCGAAUGUUCUCCAAACAACUCGGAAAAACGAUGGAAGUUUAUAUCGACGACAUGCUCGUCAAAUCCCUCAAAGCAAGAGAUCACGUGUCACAUCUCGAAGAAUGCUUUUCACAACUAAACUCCCAUAACAUGAAGCUCAACCCGACGAAAUGUAGAUUCGCCGUGGCAUCAGGAGAAUUCCUCGGCUACUUGGUCACCAACCGCGGCAUCGAAGCAAAUCCAAAACAGAUCAACGCACUAAUCGAGAUGGCUUCACCAAAGAACAAGCGGGAGGUCCAGAGACUGACCGGCAGAAUCGCAGCGCUUAACCUGUUUAUUUCACGAUCAACAGAUAAGUGCCUGCCCUUCUACGACGUCCUAUGAGGAAAUAAAAAAUUCGAAUGGACGGAAGAGUGCGAAAAAGCCUUCCAACAGCUGAAGCGUUAUUUAGCUACUCCUCCAGUCCUCGCAAAACCUGUAGAAGGGGAGCCUUUAUUCUUGUACAUCGCGGUGUCAGCGACGGCCGUAAGCGGAGUCCUGAUCAGGGAAGAACGCGGAGAGCAGAAACCUAUUUUCUACAUAAGCAAAACCUUGCUGGAUGCCGAAUCUAGGUAUCCGUUAAUGGAAAAAUUGGCAUGCGCGGUCGUGACAUCGGCCCGAAAACUAAGACCAUAUUUCCAAUCCCACACGAUUGUCGUCCUCACGACUUUUCCCUUACGGACAAUUCUGCAUAGCCCAAGUCAAUCAGGUCGAUUGGCUAAGUGGGCGAUCGAGUUGAGCGAGUAUGACAUCGAAUACCGACCAAGGACGAGCGCAAAAUCACAAGUGCUUGCAGACUUCUUGGUCGAACUUCCAACGGGAGCAAUAACCAAUGAGGAACCAAAUUCUACCUGGCUCCUCCACGUCGAUGGAUCCUCAUCCAAACAAGGAUCGGGUAUCGGGAUCCGUCUCACAUCUCCAACGAGCGAGAUCUUGGAACAAUCGUUCAGACUGGAAUUCCAUGCCUCAAACAACGAGGCCGAAUACGAAGCAUUGAUCGCAGGUCUACGUUUGGCUCACGGCUUAAAGAUACGUAAUCUCCACGCUUACUGCGACUCCCAGUUAGUGGCCAGUCAAUUCAGCGGAGAAUAUGAAGCCAGAGACGAACGGAUGGACGCGUACCUCAAACUGGUCCAAGGUCUAGCUCAAGAUUUCGACUGUUUCGCCCUUACCCGGAUCCCCCGUUCCGAGAAUGUCCAGGCGGACGCCCUCGCGGCCUUAGCAUCAAGUUCCGAUCCAGGACUCAAAAGGGUAAUUCCGGUCGAAUUCAUCGAACAUCCGAGUAUCGGACCACCAGUCGUUGUCAAUCUCAUAGAGGGUCAAGACGACGAGGAAGAAGAGAUUACGAUACCACCACCAUCGGAGCAAUCUGAUUACGGCUGCGAUACCCAUGGCUUCAGACGAUUCGAGACUACAUUAUCGACGGGCAACUGCCCGCCGAAAAAUGGGCGCUCGCAAGAUCCGAACACAGGCCGCACGCUACGUAACAGUGGACGGCGAAAUCUACAAAUGGAGAUUCUCCGGACCACUCCUGACGUGCCUGGAAGGAGAAAAGGCGAGGAAAGUAAUGGAGGAAAUACAUUCCGGCUCAUGCGGCAACCAUUCCGGCGGAAGAUCACUAGCCGUGAAAAUCAAACGCCACGGAUACUAUUGGCCAACAAUGAUCGGAGAUUGCGAGAAAUUAGCAAAAAAAUGCAAAAAAUGCCAAAGGCAUGCGCCAACUAUCCGACAACCGGCCGAAGUUCUUUCUUCCAUCACAUCGCCCUAUCCUUUUAUGCGCUGGGCCAUGGAUAUUGUCGGACCUCUGCAUAAUUCAAAGCAAAAGCGUUUCCUUCUAGUCCUUACCGAUUUUUUCUCAAAAUGGGUAGAGGCGGACUCGUACGCAAGUAUAAAAGACGUCCAAGUCGAGAAUUUCGUAUGGAGAAACAUCAUCUGUAGGCAUGGAGUUCCUUACGAAAUCGUAACCGAUAACGGGUCUCAAUUCAUUUCCACCCGAUUCGAGGCAUUCUGCGAAAAGUGGAAGAUACGACUCAACAAGUCAACUCCCAGAUAUCCGCAGUGCAACGGACAGGCUGAAACAAUCAACAAGACCAUUCUCGACGGACUGAAGAAACGCUUGGAGGCCAAAAAAGGUAGAUGGGCCGACGAACUCGAGGGAGUCCUCUGGUCUCACCGUACCACCCCAAGGCGAGCAACGGGAGAAACUCCCUUCGCCCUGGUAUACGGCACGGAAUGCAUGAUUCCCGCAGAAGUAGAAUUUCCCGGUGUUCGAAGAAGGUUCUUACCUGAACGAGAGGAACUCAACAAUGCUAUGCUCUUGGACGACCUCGACCUCAUUAACGAACGCCGGGAUCGAGCGCUCAUCCGAAUUCAAAACUACCAGCACGCCGCUGCAAGAUACUAUAAUUCCAACGUACGGAAUCGUAGGUUCAAUCAGGGAGAUCUGGUCCUUCGCAAAGUCUUCCAAAACACCGCUGAACGAAACGCGGGAAAACUCGGAGCAAACUGGGAAGGUCCCUAUAAAAUCGAAAAAGUCGUCCGACCGGUUCUUACGAAAUAGCCAACAUGCAGGGCAUAAAAAUCCCUAGAACCUGGAAUGCGAUGCAUCUCAAAAAAUACUAUCACUAAACAAACCAACUCGCAAUCACUGAACUACGAGACGGCUUGAUCUCCGCAAGGAGUACGUAGGCAGUUUGCCGAAAGGCAAAUUCAGCUGUCCCCCCUCAUUAAAAAAGGGGGGGGAGUGGGUACGUAUACUC